rnacentral:rRNA from 1 species
UUUGACCUCAAAUCAGGUAGGACUACCCGSUGAACUUAAGCAUAUCAAUAAGCGGAGGAAAAGAAACUAACAAGGAUUCCCCUAGUAACGGCGAGUGAAGAGGGAAAAGCUCAAAUUUGAAAUCUGGCAGUCUAAGGCUGUCCGAGUUGUAAUCUAGAGAAGUGUUUUCCGUGCUGGACCGUGUACAAGUCCUUUGGAACAAGGCGUCAUAGAGGGUGAGAAUCCCGUCUACGACACGGACUACCAGUGCUCUGUGAUACACUCUCAACGAGUCGAGUUGUUUGGGAAUGCAGCUCAAAAUGGGUGGUAAAUUCCAUCUAAAGCUAAAUACAGGCGAAAGACCGAUAGCGAACAAGUACCGUGAGGGAAAGAUGAAAAGCACUUUGGAAAGAGAGUUAAACAGUACGUGAAAUUGUUGAAAGGGAAACGCUUGAAGUCAGUCGCGUCUUCAGAAAUUCAGCCUGGCUUCUGCCUGGUGUACUUUUCUGUUGGACGGGCCAGCAUCAGUUUUGGUCGCCAGAAAAAGGUGGGAGGAACGUGGCACCUCCGGGUGUGUUAUAGCCUCUCAUCGUAUGUGGCGGCUGGGACUGAGGACCGCAGCACGCCUUUAAUGGCCGGGGUUCGCCCACGUAACGUGCUUAGGAUGCUGGCGUAAUGGCUUUAAACGACCCGUCUUGAAACACGGACCAAGGAGUCUAACAUGCCUGCGAGUAUUUGGGUGGUAAACCCAUAUGCGGAAUGAAAGUGAACAGUUGGGACUUCUGUCAUGGAAGGCACCGACGCCCGGACCAGACCUAUUGUGACGGAUCCGAGGUAGAGCAUGUAUGUUGGGACCCGAAAGAUGGUGAACUAUGCCUGAGUAGGGUGAAGCCAGAGGAAACUCUGGUGGAGGCUCGUAGCGAUUCUGACGUGCAAAUCGAUCGUCGAACUUGGGUAUAGGGGCGAAAGACUAAUCGAAC